GCAAGCUAUGUGCUUCUGCAUCCCCCUGCUCUUCCCUUCUCCUUUCUUUUCUUCUUCUCUGAGCCACCCAACAGCCAUCAGCUUCUCCGUUUCAACUUCCAUCUUCUUCACCAUCAUCAUCAUCCAUCCCUGUUUCAGCCUCCAGUCAGCGACCUCCCUUUUCUCUUCAUCUUCUUUCCCUUGCCCAACCCUCUUCUCCUCUCUCCGCGUUGCAGAACCACAGCCUCCGCCAACCAUCACCGCCGGCGAUAAUCCACCUUCGCCGCGCCCCUUUCUCUUCUUCCCCUCUUCUCACCUCCGCUGAGCCAGAAAACCACAGCGCCAGCUCCUCCUCUCCGCCAAAGCCCAGAGCAGCAGCGGCCACCUUCUCCAUUCCUGGGUCUCCUCUCGUCUGCCACCAAACAGUCGUGACACCCAACCUUCGUUGCCGCGUCCUUACCGGCGUUCCCGCCCGUCACCACCACUCCCUGUCCGAACCCUAACUCCACCCACCGUCAUAAAACCACCGUAGCCUCCACCAUCGAUGAGCCACCGCAACCCUCACCUCCUCUCUUCGUUCCCCAAAACCACCGCACCCAGCUCCCCUGUAUCCUUUCCGUCGCCAUCAGGUCCAGAGACUACAGGGUCUUCUUCUUCGCGAACCUUCUUCCGACAUGGCCCCUGUCGCUCUCGUUCUUUCUGGGUUGAAGAAUAGAGCAAGUGCAAGCUCUUGUUUCUUCGUCUCAAGCGAGUUCCAGCUGCUGCGACAUAUCCCCUGUUUCUUUGCUGCGCCCCUCCUCCGCUGCUGCCAUUGGAGCAGCUCCACCACCAUCUCACCACCAGGCCAGCUGAGUUGCUCCGGCCGUUCACUCACCAUCAUCAACCUUCUUCUUCCCCUUCCCUUCCUCUGUUCCAAUUCUGCUUCCCAGCACUACCAUCACUCUUGCAGCCACUCUAUCGCCUAACCCACCAGCUGAAGGUGGAGGUGACACAGUGAUGACUCCUUCCACUCCGCAUGAUCAUGAGCACCGAGGACGGUGCUAUAUCUUAAAUGUGGGGAGGUUGUCCAUCUUCAACAAGCAUUUUGGGUGACAAUCUUCAUUUCCGAACACUUUUAGUGUAGUUUCUUUUUAUGUUUUUUUGGUACUUUGUAUAUAUUUUAUCCUUUUGAGGAACCUUUUACUUAGUUUAUUGCACUUUCUUAGUUUAUUGCACUUUUUAAUUUUGUUUAUACAUAACCUAGUAUUAUAUUGUAGUGAUGCAUAUUUUUACAUCUUUUAAUUUUGGCUUUUACAUAUGCUUUUUAGUUUUAGUUAUGAUUGUGAUUUGGAUGAUGUGAUGAUUGCACCUAGUUUGGUUUCCUAUAUACUUGCUAUCUUGGUUUUGAUUGAAAUUGGGAAUUAAACUUAGGAUUUUUGACCUUUUUCAUCUAAUCACACUAUAUACAUAUAUAGAAUAAGUGUUAGUCAAUUAAUGAAAUUUCCAAGAAGCUUAUCUUUUGUAUAUAGGGUAUUGAAAAUUCGAAUUGAAGUGAGUUGAAAUUCUUUGAAACUUGCAUGAUUUAUAUAUUGUGGAAUAUGAUUUUUGAGUUAAAGAACAUACAACUUGUGAGUUUUUGAGCCUUAUUGUGUGGUUACAUCAUUGGACCACUUAUUUCAUUAUUGUGUGUUGCUCUUCUCUACGAUUGCAAUCUUUGGUUUGUUUAAGUCUGUAUAUUCAUUGUUUAAUGUAUUUUUAUGCAUUUAUGUGAUUGAGGCCAUUAUUUUUUUAUAGCUCACUUAUCCCAAAUAGCCUACCAUUGCAUUUACCCGUGUUUGCCACUUUGAGCCUUUUUAAUCCCUUUUUGUUAUUGAUUGAGCACACCACUAACUAUAAGCGAAAAAAAACAAUGAAUGUCCCUAUUUUGAAUCUUUGAAUAGCUUAAGUUAGUGAAAGUGUGUAAUGUUUAAGUGUGGAAAAAAUGUGGGAACUUUGGGUGAUGAAAAUGUGUUUUAUGCUUAUUGAAAAAUGUUGAAAAUUUGGGUACAUGCUCAUGUAAUAUUAUAGAAACCAUAUGCAUUGAUGAGUUGGUAUAUAUAUUAUGUUCUUGAAAAAAAAAAAAGAGAAAUAAUGAAAAGGGGACAAAAUUACCCCAAUGAGAAAUUCAAUAAUAAUCAAUGCAUAUGUGAUUUAAUUGAAUUUAAUGCAUGAGUGUGUGUAUGGAUGUAAAAGUGAGAUUAUGGGUAGCUAAGCUUGAUAUUAAGGUUGUAUAGAUUGUGUAUGUGUUAGGUGAGAACUUAGGUUAAUCAAAGAUUCAAAUGUAAACCCACCUAGCUAUAUAUACAUCCUUACCUUUAUCCUUAGCCCCAUUACAACUUUAAAAAGACUUUAUGAUUUUUGCAUAUGUACAUUAAAUACUUGUUGAUUGGUUAGAUGAAGAACAAACCUUAAAAAGCAUGAUUGGAGAAGAAUUGAGUGGAUUGACUCUAAACACUUGAGUGACUAGAGUGCAUACACAUAUCCAGUGAGGGUUCAAUCACUCAAUUGCAUAUUUCCACCUAUGAUCAUUGCUUAUCUUGCAAGUUUGGUUAAAUUUUUUUAUAUGACUCAAUUCAAUUGUGAAUAGGAUUUGGUUAUAAUUGCUUUAGCCCUUGAUUGUGUAUAGAUGCUUUCUUAGAAAUUGAUUUAAUUAGACUAAUUAAAUAUAUAUAUAUAUAGUUAGAUAGUAUAGUUACAUACAUAUACGUAGAUUGUAUAUAGUUAGUUAUAUUGAAUAAUUGUUGAUUCCCCUUCUUGUCUUCCUUUGGUAUAGCAUGAGGACAUGCUAUUGUUUAAGUGUGGGGAUGUGAUGAAUCUACAUUUUACGAUAUUUAUUUGCUUUAAUUAGGUGGAUUUCAUUGACUUUUCUUGCAUUUAUUCAUUGAAAUAGCAUAAUUUCAUAAUUUCUCCUUAAAUUGUGCUUGGAAGUAAAAACAUGCUUUUUAAGCUUUAUAAUUGCUCAAUUUUAUUCUCUUUAAUUUCAUUUGAUGCUUUGAUGUGUUUGUUUAGUAAUUUCAGGCUUACAAGACAAGUAUGGAUUGAAGAAGUGGAAGGAAAGCAUGCAAAAUGGGAGAAUUCAAGAAAUGAAGGAUUUGUAAAGCUGCCAGUCCUAACCUCUCUGUACUAAAUUGGUCAUAACUUGAGUUACAGAGGUCUAAAUGAGGCGGUUUCAGCGGCAUUGGAAAGCUAACGUUUGGGGCUUCAAAAUGAUGUAUAAUUUGCUAUAGUGAACAUAAGUUUAAGUGUGCGUACACACAAUUUAUGCAUACGCGCAAGUCAGGAUUUAGCAAGUGUGCGUACGCACACACCUGUGCGUACGCACAACUCUUGGCAUGUGAGCUCAUUAAUUGCAAAUUGUUGGGGGCGAAUUCUAGGCCCCCAAAACCCAAUCCAACUUAUUUCUGAAGCUAUUUCAAGCCAAAUUGAAGAGGGAUGAAGGGGGGAUCACUUAGAUUUAGGUUUUUACAUGUUUUAGUUUAGUUUUUCUAGAGAGAGAAGCUCCCCCUUCUCUCUAGAAUUAGGGUUUUUACCUUUAUUCUCUCUUUAAUUUCUCUCUUUAAUUCUUGUUUUAUUGUAAUUUCAUUUACAUUUUCAUAUUCUAUUGCCUUUAAUCUCUUAGUUUUCUUUGUUAAUUUCACUUUCAUGCCACUUUAGUUUUGUGAACACUCUUGUUACUUUUAAUUUCAUUUAAUGUAAUUUUGAUGUUUUAUGUUCUUUAA